AGGAUUACACAGGACACAAGUGUGGUCUGCAUAGAAGGGAUGGAUGAAAAUGUUAGAAUUCCUUCUAAACUGUACUAACCUUCUGUUAAAAUUCUUUUUUUAGACAUUUCCAGGGAGUUGGCAUAAGCAAUAAAUGAUGGGAGUGUGUAAUUUUACAAGGAAUUUCUUGUACAAUAGAAGACAAAGCAAAAAAGAUUAUGGACACAUUUAAUUUUUCCUUGUGUAAACAACUUAGAACCAUUUAAAUGAUAAUUGAAAUAUUUUACUGAUGACAGAUUUAUGCAUUUGUCGUGUAGGGGAAGAAGAGAGGGAAGCUUUCCAAAGGAAAGUGUGGCUGCAAAGAUAAAACAAAGAGCUCACCAUACAGACAAUCCCAAAGAGGAACUGACACAGUGAAAAGUGUCGAAUGUUGCCAGGGUACAGUGGAAGCUGUCUUAGUAUUUUCCGGACAUCUUCUUUUCUUACUGUUAAGAGCUUUGAAUGUCCCAGUUGUCCAAUGUGACUUAAAUUUGAUGAUGCCUGCCAUGAUGUCAUGUGGUCUAGACUGUACUGCCAUAUAAAGGCAGAAAAGAAAAGAGAAGAUGCUGAUAGAAUGUUAUCCUGCCUUUAAAGCUGUGAUUUAAGACUAAUGACCUGAGGUGUCAAUUCCGGAGAUUUGGACGGCACUCAGAAUCAGUGGACAGAAACUGCUUCUCCAAACUAGGAAGUCACUGUAGAAAGUGGAGAGAGGACUCAAGAAACAGAAAUGAUGCUGAAAACUGUUCUUUCUGCACAGCAAGUUAGAACUCUCUGCUUUGAAGCAAUGUCUUCCCAGGCAAAAGGAUUUUGAAAAUGUAAACCAUCAAAAGGGCUCAGGGAAUUAGGAAGAAGAGGAGAUGGAAGGAUCCUAAAAGCCAAGGGGGAUGGAUGACUACAAGGAA
rnacentral:lncRNA from 1 species